rnacentral:rRNA from 1 species
GAUGAACGCUGGCGGCGUGCCUAAUACAUGCAAGUCGAGCGAACGGACGAGAAGCUUGCUUCUCUGAUGUUAGCGGCGGACGGGUGAGUAACACGUGGAUAAUCUACCUAUAAGACUGGGAUAACUUCGGGAAACCGGAGCUAAUACCGGAUAAUAUUUUGAACCGCAUGGUUCAAAAGUGAAAGACGGUCUUGCUGUCACUUAUAGAUGGAUCCGCGCUGCAUUAGCUAGUUGGUAAGGUAACGGCUUACCAAGGCAACGAUGCAUAGCCGACCUGAGAGGGUGAUCGGCCACACUGGAAGUGAGACACGGUCCAGACUCCUACGGGAGGCAGCAGUAGGGAAUCUUCCGCAAUGGGCGAAAGCCUGACGGAGCAACGCCGCGUGAGUGAUGAAGGUCUUCGGAUCGUAAAACUCUGUUAUUAGGGAAGAACAUAUGUGUAAGUAACUGUGCACAUCUUGACGGUACCUAAUCAGAAAGCCACGGCUAACUACGUG